rnacentral:rRNA from 1 species
UUUUGGACAAUGGGCGCAAGCCUGAUCCAGCCAUGCCGCGUGAGUGAAGAAGGCCUUCGGGUUGUAAAGCUCUUUCGGCAGGAACGAAAUUGUACGUGCUAAUACCACGGACUGAUGACGGUACCUGAAGAAGAAGCACCGGCUAACUACGUGCCAGCAGCCGCGGUAAUACGUAGGGUGCAGGCGUUAAUCGGAAUUACUGGGCGUAAAGCGUGCGCAGGCGGUUUCUUAAGUCAGAUGUGAAAGCCCCGGGCUUAACCUGGGAACUGCGUUUGAAACUGGGAGACUUGAGUGUGGCAGAGGGGGGUGGAAUUCCACGUGUAGCAGUGAAAUGCGUAGAUAUGUGGAGGAACACCGAUGGCGAAGGCAGCCCCCUGGGCUAACACUGACGCUCUGCACGAAA